rnacentral:lncRNA from 1 species
UUGAGUUGUAGGUUGUUGGCCACAAAGUGAGUAAGGUCGCCGUGGCGGCUCACCGUGCCCUCCAGCUCUAGGGGGCUGGAGAUUGUGGCGCGACGUCCUCCGCCCGCGCCGGUCUCGCCACUGGAUGAAGACCCCCCUCCACCGCACGCCCCACUCAGCCCGUCCAGGCUGCGGCUGUCCUGAAGGCGGCUGGGGAACGAGCGGCCAGCCCUACCCGCCGCCGCCUCUUCGUCGUCGUCGUCGUCGUCGUCGUCGUCACCCUCUUGCUGCGGCAGCUCCACAUUCAUCUCGACGCCUCCGGGGCUCCCUCGACGGCAGACCCUCAGAGCGGAGGGCUGAUCCUCGCUGGGCUCGGGCUCCGGGUACCAGGAGGACGGGGGCGGGGCGUGCUGGGAACCCGGCACCCCCCGGCGUCCCCGGGCCCCUGACGGCGUCGCCCGGGAGCUCGGCUUGUCCUCCCAAGUGUCCAGCUCCGGCCCAUGGGCGAUGCUGCCGCUCCAAGUCUUUGGGGACGCUCGGGGAUGACGGCUCGCGACCCCAACGCUCUCCGCCUCUUCCUCGCCGGACAACGUCCUGACUGAGGGCGGCUUCGAGGGCGUUCGGGACGGCCUGCCGCUGAAAGUCGCGGCCUGGUGCUCGGCGCCGACCGAAAGCUCCGGCUCCGGUCCGAGCCGCCCCUGGGCGGCCUCCAUACUGAGGGUGGGGGCCGGAACCGCGAGUCGUCCGCCGGGCUCCCCCGGCAGCGGCGGCGCCUUUAAGGGGCGUUGGCGGAGGCGCGCCGAUUGGCAGCCGGAUGAUAAUGGUCCGGACAGGAAGGGCUCUGUGAUUGGUCGCCACCCCAGGAAGUUCCGGGAGGAGGGCUGUUAUGGAACUGCAGAACACACGUGAAAGCCAGUCGGGUGGCCGCUCCGGGGUGACAGCUCUGCGCGGGGCUCCGCCCCUUCGGAAAGUUGAGGGGGCGGGUCUUAAAAGCCCCGAGCCCAGGCGCGCCCGAGUCCCACCGGGGCGGAGCUUAGGCUCCGCGUCCACGGUGGUGUCGUCCCGAAUUACCGCGGAGCAGUCACACACCGCCGGGGAUCGUUCUUGGGAGCUCUAGGGGGUUCUUGGAUGCUCAGGGUUGGACCGAACCGAGCUAGAAAACCGAGAAAGAAAAACAGCAGCGCCAAGAGAGAGAAAGGUGGAAUUCCUAGCGGAACGGGGCUGAUUGGCUCCAUCCUUGAAACAUUGACAGACUUGACUGGUCGUUGAAGAGCCCAGAAGCGACACACUGUGCAGGGAAUUGCAGCUCCUGGACUUUCCUGUGCUUUUGUCACUCGUCGGCCUCCUGUCCCCUCAGCGUUAGAGCGUUUCUUUCAUUGGAGGAUAAUAUUGGGUUUUUUUUUUGGGGGGGGGGUCACAAGAGAAAAUAUUCCAUAGGUGAAAGGAUCUGAAGUUUUAAUAAGCCCUCUCGGGGAAAAUAAAGGGCUGUGAUUGAGAGUAAGAAGGACUAGUUAGAUGAGGUCGGGAAAGGUCUCUGAUGGGAACUAUCAAGAGCAUCAACUCAGCUUGCUGACAGAGGGAGAGGAGCGGCUUACCUAAACCUCAGAGGCAAAGAAGGUUUGAUAUAAACCACAAACGCUGGGGUACGGAGUGUGGGGAAGAGGCAGAGAGAAGACACCAGGGCUAAAAUAAAUGAGAAGGGAGAGGAUUAACAACAUCCAGACCGAAGAUUCAGGACUCCAGGGCCACGUUUCCCAGGGCAUUGUAGUUUCUGUAGCAUAUGGAGAUUCUUUCCAAGGACCAUGGGACAGGAAUCAAAUGGUAGAAAAGUCGUCAACUGCAACAUACUGCCGAAGCUCUGGGAGCCUUCUAGUUAGCAGAACAAUGUAUUAAUAUUCUUCCUUGGUUUAGAAUCUUUGUAUACCCCCGGCUGUCCUGGAACUACCUUUGUAGACCAGGCUGCCCUCGAACUUGCAGAGAUCCUGCCUUUGCCUCCCAAGUUUCUGGCUGGGGUUAAAGGCAGAAGGACACCAUGCGGGACUUGUUCCUCCUUUUGAAACUGAGUCCUAUGUGGAAAGUGUGUACAAUUACUGUGGAUAGUAACUGCAGAAUCUUCCUGUUUUCCCCAGCACCAACGCUGACUUUUGCAGUCCCCUCCACCCUGUCUUUGUUCUUGUGUUCCUUGCUCAUUUCUUGAGGUCUUUUUUCCUUCGAAAGAAGCCAUCUUUUGCAAGUCUUUUGUCUUCUACUACUAUUCCUACUGCUACUAUUAUUCCUCCUCCUCCUCUUGAUGCCAAAGGUGUGACAUUUGGUGUGACAGUAGAGGUUUUACUUGGUGGCAUAAGGUUUAGUUGGGACAUUGUCUUCCCUACUAUUUGGUGACUCCAUGUAGAGUCUUUUCAUAUAUGUACAUGUCUUAGGGAGCCUCUGCAGUAGGUUUGCAUAUGGUUCUUAAAUGGCCUUUAGUGUUAGCUGUCCCUCCCCAGAGUUCCUCCUUUACCUUCCUUGACCCAUUAAAUCCUCCUAGUUUCCCCUUUGGCUCUCCAUAACAGCAUAUUCUAUUUCCCCGUCUAAGUACCUGUCUUAGUUUGAGUUUCAAUUGCUAUAAAAGAGACACCAGGACC